CCAACUGUUUUUGACACACACAAAAUUCCAGCUAUUCAUAAAAAGUAAAUAAAGGGUCCGGUUGUGUACACUUAACAUAUUGUGGGUUUCGAGUGUGCUUCACGGAGAGAUAAAUAGGUGCGAACAUGACGAAUUGGAGAAAAAAAUAGCUGCGAACGAACACGACGAAUUGGAGAAAAAAAAUAGCUGCGAACGAACACGACGAAUUGGAGAAAAACGAAUUGGAGAAAGAAAAAGAGCUGCGAACUUGACGAAUCGGAAAAAGAAAAGAUUGGAGCUUCUUGAUUGGAUUUUGAUUAUUCUGAAUUCGUUCUAGUUCGUUCUUUGAUUGAUUUCGAUUGUUCUUACAAAAUUGGAGAAAGAAAUACAGAGGUUUGGAGGCUUUGUGGCAUUUCUCAUUUACAUGAUCACAACUUUCACCCUCUACAAUCCUGUUUGGAGUUUCGUAGAUCAUAUUAAUGGCGAUGAACCAAGGAGAUACACAGUGAUAUGUAGGUUGAGAGGACACUUAGGUCCUGCAUGUAACGCUGUUGGACAUUUGGUAGUCAAGUUUGGGGGUUAACCAUUUUUAUUCAAAUCUUGUUUGGAGAUACUUAAAGUUUGGUAGGAAUGCACAUUCAGUUCUCCAGGUGAAGGUCCAUUUCGUAAAGAUGCUCUAAGUUGGUGUUGAGCUUCCUUUGAACCUGAGGGCAUAUGUUCUUUUCAUUUUGUCCAUUCAGAUGUUCGGGGGCUUAAUCCAUACCUUGAAUUCAUGCCUAUAAGUACUUUUUGGUAAUGGUUGAUGACAGUACUAGAUGCACUUGAAUUGUGAUAUUUGGAAAAAGUGGCAGACUCCAUUACUAUGGUAGAAAAUCGGUUUGCAAGAAGGACUAAACUGAUUAGAAAUGAUAAUCAAAUUGUGUUUAAGCCAGAUGAUUUGUGUAGAAGCAAGGGCAUUGUUCAUCAUUUUAUUUGUGUUGAAACAUCUAUUACUAGAAUGCUAGGGUUGGAAAGAAAGCAUCCAUACAUAUUAGGAGUGGCUCAGCCCUAAUGAAGCAGUCAUUCUUACCAAAAUAGUUGUGGACUUGCAAAGUUUUACAAGUUGUAUAUCUCAGUAACAGAAUGGCAUUGAUGAUGUUGAAUAAAAGUUCUCUUCAAAAUUUACAAUGUGCAUUUCUAGACGAUGAUAGCCUUAGAAUUUGUUGGUUUCCUUCGCUAUAUGUUUCCAACAAUUUGCUAGGUAGAACAACCAAUUCCACUCCUCAAUCCAGACCAUGAUUUCCACUAUACCUGUCCUGCCAUAUCAGCACAUUCUCUUGCACCAGGUUAUUGAUUUCCCGAUCUUUAAUUUAAGUAAAGCCUACUGAACUAGUGGUUACUACCACACCUUCAUACACACCCCUCCUCAUCUAUGUAAAUGACAUUGUGAUAGUUAAUCACAGUUCUCAUAAAUUUUCCAAAGUUAAGAAUGUGAUUGAUAGAAACAUAGGUAUAAAGGAUAUUGGAAAAAAUUUCUGGGCUUUGAAGUUUCCCAUUCACCAAGAGAUAUCUCUAUUUGUCACCGGCAUCACUGCCUCAAUUUUCUCACUGAUUAGAAAAUUCUUGGCAGCAAACUCCCGUUGACCUGGUUCUCACUUACAUUAAGAUGAUGGGCCUCUUUUUCAUGAUGUUGCUUUAUAUGGGUAUUUGGUUGUUAAAAUUCUAUAUUUGACCAUUGCUUUGCUUGAUAUAUCAUUUCCAGUGCAACAACUUUCCAAAUGUUCAUCCAAGGGUCACUAGGUCAUGGGUUUUCUUUAGUAGGACAUCUUCUCUAGACUUACGCAAUCACAAUUAUUGAGUUUGAAUUGGUUUCUUCAACUCGUGUAUGGACAAGCAAUGUAGUGGGGGAUCGCUGCUUCUGUUUGUAAUGCCAGUUAGGAGAGUCUGAGAAAAAAGAUAUAGAGAGAGAGGUUGAGAGAGAAAAGGGGAUGGGGAGGGAGACCAUCUGAAGGGUCCUUCUAAUUGAGGUGUAUUGUCUGAUUGGUCCGUUAGUACGCUUCAUGCACGUUUCCGAUAGACACAACCUCCAGCAAGUGAAUUUUCAAAUACCAGCGGGCAAGCUUGUAAAAAUGUGCAAGUGACUAUUGAGAGUAUCGAUAGACUUUGAGGAAAUUCACUUACCAACGAGCAUGUCGGUUGAAAAUGUGGUAGCAAAUAAAGGGCACCAAGAUUAGCAAUAAAUUGGUUAUGAAUCAGAGACUAGAAGUUGAUUCCAAAUGAUGUCCAUAUCUAGAGAUGGCUCUUAGUCUUAGUUGAGAGCUUUACCACUCCCUAACUUAGAUUUUGAGGCAAGUAAACUUCUAUGCUACUAUUUUGGAUCCAAGUCAAGUUUUAGAAAUUUAGGUCAAAUCUUAUUCUUUAAUUGAACGCAAAAAUUUGGUUUUGCAUUCAUAUGCAUAUUAUGAUCAUGUGUUGCAGGAAGAUGUGUUAUGUUUCAUCAGAUUGGUGUUAUCCAGCUAUUUAUAAAGGUACUGAAAUCUCAAUUUAGCUUUUAUUGAUUUGAUUUCUAGGCUAUGAUAUGAUUUCUAGGCUAUGAUAUGAUUUCUAGGCUAUGAUAUGCAAUGAAAGUUUAAAGACCUGACAAGCUCUACAUCUUUCAUUUUAUAAGUACACUUUUUACCAAAGUAAGUUUAAUAAAACCUAGAAUAGUCUUUUGUAUGUGUCUGUGUGUUCAUGUAAUACCUUUCAUCUAUUUUGUUGUGAUGUUUGCUUGUUGCUUGUUCCCUCCAUUUGUUUUUUUAAUCUUCUGUUUGCUACUUUUGAUUGUUUUCUGUUAGUGUUGCUUCUUCUAAUGAGAUUAUUGAGAGGUUGGUGUUUAAGGUGGUGAGUUAUUGAGAAAAUGAGAUUGUAGAUGAUUUGAAUAACAUGAAAUAGAAAAGAAACAAGAGAGAUAAGAGCUGGUUUGAGUUUGCAUCUAGUUUGGGUUUCGAGUCUGCUUCACAGAGAGAGAAAUAGGUGCGAACAUGACAAAUUGGAGAAAAAAAGAGCUGCCAACGAACAUGACAAAUUGGAGAAAGAAAAAGAGCUGCGAACUUGACGAAUCGGAAAAAGAAAAGAUCGGAGCUUCUUGAUUGGAUUUCGAUUAUUCUGAAUUCAUUCUAGUUUGUUCGUUGAUUGAUUUCGAUUGUUCUUACGAAAUUGGAGAAAGAAAUGCAGAGGUGUGUUCUUAAUUUUCGAUUUUCAAUCUUCUGCACUUUGAAUCAAAUUCUUUAUAAUUGAUUUGACCUGUCAUCUUCGUGUUUGGCA